GAAAUACAAAGAGUGUUUUUUUUUUAAUUGAAUUCCCAGGGUAUUUGUUACAAUCAAGAAUUACAUACAACAAAGUUCCAUGUGAGUUUUUUGGUACAAUUGCUUGAUGUUGAUAAAGACUGUCAAUUAUGUUUGAUAUUUCUUUUUUUUUUAACAGUGAAAGAAAGUUUGCCAGCAAGUUACCAGCCUCAUCAAGCCUACCUUCAUGAUUCAGUGAUCAAUGUCAUCAUAAUCAACUUAUCUCAAGGGCACAGUUCUCAAUUUCUGAUUGCUGUAAUAGGGUAAUGUUCUGAAGCAGUACAUGACAUAUAUUGCAAACUCACCUGUGACAUUGCCAAUCUCUAGCCAACGUCUAAAGGAUUUCUGUUUUUGUACAUGAGUCAAGAUGUGAUGGAAGCCAUGGCUUAGGCAAAUACAAAGCUAGCAGUCUUAUCCCUUGGCAUUGGAUAUGUGCAACAUCACAUGCCUUUGCAUGCAAUAUAUUAAAUAGAGGAUGGGGGCUUAAGUGUCGGGAUCAAUUUAUAAAUGGAAAGAUGUUGUGAUGCUGCUCUUCAAACCUUAAAUUGCUAUUCUUAGGAGAGCACAUGAGCUGUAAAAGAUUCAUGUCAUUUUUUUCCUCUUAAAAUUUAUGUCUUCUCUGUCGACCAGACCUAGAAUUUGUAUCAAACUUCAACAUUGUGUCUCCUUUCUUAAGCAACCAUACCAUGAUCAUGUAACGACCCGGAUAUCAAAUGGAAUCAGGCAAUUGAUCUCCACAUCAAAUGGGAAUAUAUGUAAUGUUCUAAUAGAAUUUGAACAGAAGAAAUCUAGCAACCUUCAGCCAUACAUACCAAUGAUUUCUAUUUUAAAUCAAAUUAUCCUACCCUCCCACAAAGUGCACAAAUCAACAGUUUUCUUCUCACCAUUAUUUAUGGAUGUACUUUUUCUUCAUCUUUGAUAUUAUUUUGGAACAUCUUGGGAAGGUAUUUAUGAUUUCUAUAUGAAGGAAAAUUGGUUCCCAUAUCAAUGAUAUUUUGAUACCUGGAAUAUUAAUGUAUUUGAAGAGAUAAAUCUUAAUACGAUGUUGUUUUAAGUAGUUGAAGAAUAACAAGAAUUACAUUUGACUGGAAAAUAUCAGAGAUUUGAAACAAUACCACGGUCCUUAUGAUUUCCAUGCUCGCUAAAAUAUUCAAAGUUAGAUUUACAUACUGAUUGAUGAUUUUUCUCUCCAGAUUUGAUAAUAAUAAUUGGUUUCUUUAAUAGAAAAAAAAAGUUUAUUCUAAUGUAUGCAGAACUUUAAAGUACCAUAAUCUUUAAAUUUUCAACUCAAAUUUUUGUUGAAAGUAAACUGUUUGACUCACUGUGAGAAAUCAUUCAAAUGAAUAAUACCUACUGUUGUAACCUGUCUGGACGAUUCUUCAAUUCCCUAUCCUUGGGUCAUAUAUUUUCAUGAAUUUGCCUGAGGGUUUUAAAGGUAAAUGUAUUAGAAGUUUUGAUUAGCAGAUAAAUGUUAUCAAAGAUGCUACCCUGAAGUUUGCAGAGAGCACUUUUACUGCAACCUAUUGAAUGUUAUGUUUCAAUUGAAAUUUAACAUGUAAGUGUAAGGAUUUUGGCUUGAUUUUGACUUGCUGAGAUGGUAUGAAAGUGGAGUAUAGAAUUGAUAAAUGAAAUUCUCUGCCAAGCAAAACACUUUUAUAUAUUCUGAGCGUUGAAUUCAACACUUUAAUUCAUUGAUUGUGCCAAGGUUAGAAAAUUCAGCACCUUUUUGUGCAAGGUCCUUUCACAAUUUUCCCAGCUUAAAUUUUUGUUUGAUAUUCAGCAGCUCAGGCAGAGUUAGGAUGAAGGUGAAUUUAUAUUCCAGACGUGGUGAGGAAUCAAUUUAGAAAGUUGUGUCUGACUUAAUUACUAAUUGAAUAAAUGCUUGUGGAGUUUACCAUGCCAUCAGAGUGUUGGCUCUGGCUGGUGUUUAAUUUCUCUUCUGGUUCUCUCAAACAUAUUUUUUCCUGCUUAAAGAGCUUCUUGGAGAUUUCAAAUGUUGUAAUAUUACCUCAAAUACACCAAACUCAUCAUUUUCACAAAAAAAUGCCUCUAAAUUUCUCUUUAAUGUAUAUUGAGGCCUAUGAGAUGUUUCAUUUCACUUUCAAAAUAACCAUAAUGGUUCUUUUCUGUUAAAUGUUUUUGAGUGACAGUGAGAAACUUACUAAGAGUCGGACAUCCUCUUUUUACCACAAAAAAUGAGUAAAAAAAAAUCAAGUAACUGAGGUCAGUAAUAUUGUGGUUACAUUCUUAUUCAAAAAGAUAUAGACAUGUGUCUAGCAGAAAAUUGAACUCUCAAUUUUAUGAAGUAAAUAAUUAAUUUGUGUUUAUUGGGUCAAACUAAUAGGUACAAGAUGCGAAGCAUGAAAUAUGAGGUAACAGUCUUUGUGAAUUUUCCAGACUGUGCUUUAGGAUUUUAUAAUUUCAUAAAGAAUAAAAAGAAGUGACCCUUCAAUCUCAUCAAGAAAACGCAAUCCUUAGUCUGGUAGUCUUGGAUGAUUUACUAUACUGUCUUCAAUCAAGUGCUUUGAGACUCCAUUUCCAUACAAAAUAUUCUAUAUCCCCCUCCCCCUUAAGAGAGUCAAGUAGGUUUACAAGUACAACUUGAUAUAAUUCAUCCCUAUAAAAUCCAAUACUUUGUCUUUCAAAGUUUUUAUUAUUGUAUUAGAGAAGGACCCAUUAAAAAUUAAUCACUAAAAUACAUUUUGAUUAAAACCUAAAAUUAAAAAUCUUAAAGUUUAGGGGGAUUGUCUGUUGUAAUUGCAGUUUUUUAUUUAAAAAAUAUCUUUGCCUUGAAAAUCUUGAGAUUAAGAUGUUGAGUUUGUUUGUUGCACUGUUUUUUUCAACAAUACUAUAUGUGAAGGAAAAACAGGGAUUAUAAAAUGUUUUUUAUAAUAGCAAGAAGCUGCAUAAAAGAGCGAAAUGUGGUGGUUCAUCCUAUAAUCAAGUCUUGUUUUAUUAAAUCAGCAAAUACGUUCAUACAUUGAGAAUGAAAACAAAAUAAAAUACACCCUUUUUUCAUAAGUCUUCUCAAAAGAUCAGCCUCGUUCAGACGUAGGCCGUUUUGGUCGGUGGAAAGGUCGGGGCAGUGCCCGUGUUGGAAACCUGUUCAGACGUGGGUUCGUAGUCGGAGUAAAAUUCUAUUGAGCAUGGAUUGGAAUUCCAAUGAUAUUCAUCUUAUCACGACCCAAGCAAUCACAAGACAAACUCCGACAUGUAAAAAAAAUGAUAAUGUAUAUGAAAUAAAAUUUUACUCUGACCAAGAACCCAUGUCUGAACGAGACGGUUGUCUUAAUAAUCAUUGGAUUUGCUAUCAUUUCUUUUACGAUUGAAAAGAAAAAUGAAUAUUGAGGUCAUUAAAUUAAAAUCCUAGUAUUAUAAUUUUGUUAUUUUUAAAUGUCUAUAUUUUAAUUGUCAGAAUAUCACGUAAAAGUUAUGUCAAAUUGUGUGUAUUCUGAAGAUUUUCUCAUGCACAUUUAAAGACAGCUGUGGCUUAAUAUGUGUAUACAUUAAAUGUUAAUACAAAACUUAGUUAAUUUAUUAUUGGUCUGUUUUUUAGUUCAUUUUGGGUUGAAUAAUGUGUGUACAGUGUAUAUAUUAUUAUCGCAUGUCUUAUGAACACUGCAAAAAAUCCAGUGUUGAUUUACCAGCCCGGAAUCUAUGUCCACACCAGAGAAUUACUGAAACAACACCAGUUUGGAAUCAAACCGAUGCUAUUUUAAUACUAAUUGGUGUUGUAUAAAUACCUAUCUGGUGUUAGACCAAACCAAACUGGUGUUUAACACUUCUCUGGUGUGGACAUAAUACAUUCCGGGCUAGUGGUAAAUCAACACCGGAGUUUUUGCAGUGAAGUGGGAAGUGGGGAUCUUGCAGUGGUUUGAAUUUUGCAAAUAUGAGAAUAAUUAUUUGCUGAUAUGUGAGGAAAGCAACCAAAAAAUGUUUUAAUUGUCAUGCGGUAGCUUUUCUUCCGUUCACUCAGUGGUCUAUAUAUAAAUUUUCAUGUCAGAAAUAUAGCUCUCAUCGAUCUAAA